UACGGAGGGUGCAAGGGUUACUCGGAAUCACUGGGCGUAAAGGGCGCGUAGGCGGCCUAGCAAGUCUGGUGUGAAAGCCCAGGGCUCAACCCUGGAAGGGCACUGGAAACUGUUAGGCUUGAGUUCCGGAGAGGAGGGGGGAAUUCCAGGUGUAGCGGUGAAAUGCGUAGAUAUCGGGAGGAAUACCGGUGGCGAAGGCGCCCCUCUGGACGGAAACUGACGCUGAGGCGAGAAAGCGUGGGGAGCAAACAGG
rnacentral:rRNA from 1 species